AUUAGGGCUCUGGUGGCGGCGGCGGCAGACACUUGGGGUCUGGACGCAACGGAGGCGGGAGCGUGAACGCCCCUCCAGCCUUCGAGUCGUUCUUGCUCUUCGAGGGCGAGAAGAAGAUCACCAUUAACAAGGACACCAAGGUACCCAAUGCCUGUUUAUUCACCAUCAACAAAGAAGACCACACACUGGGAAACAUCAUUAAAUCACGUGCCUGCUUCCCCUUCGCCUUCUGCCGUGAUUGUCAGUUUCCUGAGGCCUCCCCAGCCACGCUUUCUGUACAGCCUGCAGAACUCUGCCCCAGAGCACAUCAGCUAUGUGCCCCAGCUCUCAAACGACACCCUGGCGGGGAGGCUCACCCUGUCCACCUUCACGCUGGAGCAGCCUCUAGGCCAGUUCAGCAGCCACAACAUCUCUGACUUGGAUACCAUCUGGCUGGUGGUGGCCCUCAGCAACGCCACCCAGAGCUUCACGGCCCCACGGACAAACCAGGACAUCCCUGCUCCUGCCAACUUCUCCCAGAGGGGCUACUAUCUCACACUGAGGGCCAACCGGGUGCUGUACCAGGCCAGAGGCCAGCUCCAUGUCCUCCGUGUUGGCAAUGAUACCCACUGCCAACCAACAAAAAUUGGCUGCAACCAUCCCCUACCAGGACCGAGCCCCUACAGGGUGAAGUUCCUGGUGAUGAAUGACAAAGGACCCGUGGCUGAAACAAAGUGGUCCAGCAACACUCGCCUGCAGCAAGGACAGCCACAGUGUGGAAGACCCUGUGCCCCUUCUGGGGUGAGGAGUACCAAGUGCACCUGCCGCCCACCUUCCACGCUGUGGCUUUCUACGUCAUGGAUGAGGAUGCCCUCAGCCGGGACGACGUUAUCGGAAAGGUCUGCCUUACAAGGGACACCAUAGCUUCUCACCCUAAGGAUCAUGAAGAAGUCAUGCUACCCACGCUGGAAUGAGACGUUUGAAUUUGAGCUGCA
rnacentral:lncRNA from 1 species